rnacentral:rRNA from 1 species
AUUGAACGCUGGCGGCAGGCUUAACACAUGCAAGUCGAGCGGGGUGAUGGUGCUUGCACUAUCACUUAGUGGCGGACGGGUGAGUAAUGCUUAGGAAUCUGCCUAUUAGUGGGGGACAACAUCUCGAAAGGGACGCUAAUACCGCAUACGUCCUACGGGAGAAAGCAGGGGAUCACUUGUGACCUUGCGCUAAUAGAUGAGCCUAAGUCGGAUUAGCUAGUUGGUGGGGUAAAGGCCUACCAGGGCGACGAUCUGUAGCGGGUCUGAGAGGAUGAUCCGCCACACUGGGACUGAGACACGGCCCAGACUCCUACGGGAGGCAGCAGUGGGGAAUAUUGGACAAUGGGGGGAACCCUGAUCCAGCCAUGCCGCGUGUGUGAAGAAGGCCUUAUGGUUGUAAAGCACUUUAAGCGAGGAGGAGGCUCUUUUGGUUAAUACCCAAGAUGAGUGGACGUUACUCGCAGAAUAAGCACCGGCUAACUCUGUGCCAGCCGCCGCCGUAA